GACGAACGCUGGCGGCGUGCUUAACACAUGCAAGUCGAACGGAAAGGCCCUGCUUUUGUGGGGUGCUCGAGUGGCGAACGGGUGAGUAACACGUGAGUAACCUGCCCUUGACUUUGGGAUAACUUCAGGAAACUGGGGCUAAUACCGGAUAGGAGCUCCUGCUGCAUGGUGGGGGUUGGAAAGUUUCGGCGGUUGGGGAUGGACUCGCGGCUUAUCAGCUUGUUGGUGGGGUAGUGGCUUACCAAGGCUUUGACGGGUAGCCGGCCUGAGAGGGUGACCGGCCACAUUGGGACUGAGAUACGGCCCAGACUCCUACGGGAGGCAGCAGUGGGGAAUAUUGCACAAUGGGCGGAAGCCUGAUGCAGCAACGCCGCGUGCGGGAUGACGGCCUUCGGGUUGUAAACCGCUUUCGCCUGUGACGAAGCGUGAGUGACGGUAAUGGGUAAAGAAGCGCCGGCUAACUACGUGCCAGCAGCCGCGGUGAUACGUAGGGUGCGAGCGUUGUCCGGAUUUAUUGGGCGUAAAGGGCUCGUAGGUGGUUGAUCGCGUCGGAAGUGUAAUCUUGGGGCUUAACCCUGAGCGUGCUUUCGAUACGGGUUGACUUGAGGAAGGUAGGGGAGAAUGGAAUUCCUGGUGGAGCGGUGGAAUGCGCAGAUAUCAGGAGGAACACCAGUGGCGAAGGCGGUUCUCUGGGCCUUUCCUGACGCUGAGGAGCGAAAGCGUGGGGAGCGAACAGGCUUAGAUACCCUGGUAGUCCACGCUGUAAACGGUGGGUACUAGGUGUGGGGUCCAUUCCACGGGUUCCGUGCCGUAGCUAACGCUUUAAGUACCCCGCCUGGGGAGUACGGCCGCAAGGCUAAAACUCAAAGGAAUUGACGGGGCCCCGCACAAGCGGCGGAGCAUGCGGAUUAAUUCGAUGCAACGCGUAGAACCUUACCUGGGUUUGACAUGGAUCGGAAGUGCUCAGAGAUGGGUGUGCCUCUUUUGGGGUCGGUUCACAGGUGGUGCAUGGCUGUCGUCAGCUCGUGUCGUGAGAUGUUGGGUUAAGUCCCGCAACGAGCGCAACCCUUGUUCACUGUUGCCAGCACGUUAUGGUGGGGACUCAGUGGAGACCGCCGGGGUCAACUCGGAGGAAGGUGGGGAUGACGUCAAGUCAUCAUGCCCCUUAUGUCCAGGGCUUCACGCAUGCUACAAUGGCUGGUACAGAGAGUGGCGAGCCUGUGAGGGUGAGCGAAUCUCGGAAAGCCGGUCUCAGUUCGGAUUGGGGUCUGCAACUCGACCUCAUGAAGUCGGAGUCGCUAGUAAUCGCAGAUCAGCAACGCUGCGGUGAAUACGUUCCCGGG
rnacentral:rRNA from 1 species